UACGGAGGGUGCAAGCGUUAAUCGGAAUUACUGGGCGUAAAGCGCGCGCAGGCGGUUAUUUAAGUCAGAUGUGAAAUCCCCGGGCUUAACCUGGGAAUUGCAUCUGAGACUGGAUAGCUAGAGUCCGGUAGAGGGGGAUGGAAUUCCACGUGUAGCGGUGAAAUGCGUAGAGAUGCGGAGGAAUACCGGUGGCGAAGGCGGUCCCCUGGAC
rnacentral:rRNA from 1 species